AGAGUUUGAUCAUGGCUCAGGAUGAACGCUAGCGACAGGCCUAACACAUGCAAGUCGAGGGGCAUCGCGGGGUAGCAAUACUCUGGCGGCGACCGGCGCACGGGUGCGUAACAGGUGUGCAAUCUGUCCGUAAUCGGGGGAUAGCCCAGCGAAAGUUGGAUUAAUACUCCAUGUGAGUUGAAGCCGCAUGACUUUAACUUGAAACGUGAGGAUUACGGGUGAGCACGCUUCUGAUUAGGUAGUUGGUGGGGUAACGGCCCACCAAGCCGACGAUCAGUAGGGGUUCUGAGAGGAAGGUCCCCCACAUUGGAACUGAGACACGGUCCAAACUCCUACGGGAGGCAGCAGUGAGGAAUAUUGGUCAAUGGGCGAGAGCCUGAACCAGCCAAGUCGCGUGAAGGAAUGAAGGUUCUAUGGAUUGUAAACUUCUUUUAUUCGAGGGUAAAGUGUGGUACGUGUACCAUAUUGCAAGUAUCGAAUGAAUAAGCAUCGGCUAACUCCGUGCCAGCCGCAGC
rnacentral:rRNA from 1 species